rnacentral:rRNA from 1 species
GUGGGGAAUAUUGGACAAUGGGCGCAAGCCUGAUCCAGCAAUGCCGCGUGUGUGAAGAAGGCCUUCGGGUUGUAAAGCACUUUAAGUUGGGAGGAAAAGCUGCAUGUUAAUAGCGUGUAGUGUUGACGUUACCAACAGAAUAAGCACCGGCUAACUCCGUGCCAGCAGCCGCGGUAAUACGGAGGGUGCAAGCGUUAAUCGGAAUUACUGGGCGUAAAGCGCGCGUAGGCGGUUAUUUAAGUCAGAUGUGAAAGCCCCGGGCUUAACCUGGGAAUGGCAUUUGAGACUGGAUGGCUAGAGUAUGGUAGAGGUGAGUGGAAUUUCAGGUGUAGCGGUGAAAUGCGUAGAGAUCUGAAGGAACAUCAGUGGCGAAGGCGACUCACUGGGCCAUUACUGACGCUGAGGUGCGAAAGCGUGGGUAGCAAACAGGAUUAGAAACCCUAGUAGUCC